rnacentral:sRNA from 1 species
UGUUUUUUCCUAUGCAUACAUACCUGUGAUUAAGUUUAUGAAUUAGGCACCUUAAGAGAUUGACAACAAUAACUAAUAAUAAAAUGUAACGGUUAUACUGUAAUGAAAGUUGUAAAUGUGGUCUGUCUCACAAUAUCUUCUUGUACUGUACUCAUCUCUUUUCCAGGUGGCUGUUGACUCUGGGUAACUAAAGCUGCAGAAGGUGAAACUCAGAGAUGCUUUCUGUUCUCAGCCACAGUAGCUCAAACGUAGAAAUGAAGGAAAACCACUCAAAUGAGAAACAGUAUUCAGAGCUUGCUACAGCAAGGGAGUCAGCAACAUCACCGGUGUGGGUAGGCGCAAGGACCCAGGGGGUGGAAAACGGGGAAGGCUCCAGGUGGUUCUGACUGCAGGCUGUUGGAAACUGGAGGUAAAAAAGAGUGUCAAGUGGACAUGCAAAGCUUGUGGAGAGAAGCAGUCCUUUUUGCGGGUGAGUCCUACAAAACAGAAAGCAGGUGGGGCGCAGGCCUGCAGCGAGCCCUUCCAGGGAGUCCCAGCAUGCCACAGCUGGGAUCAUCCUCUCUC